AUUAUAUAUAUAUAUAUAUAUAUAUAUAUAUAUAUAGAGCAGAGCUGCUGUGCUCUCAGGAGCACGGAGCGUGCUCCUGAGCCGUUUUCGAUGAUGGAAUUUUCGAAUCGACGAUCGGCUCCGUUAGACUUGAUCUAGGGCAUUUAAAGUUUCUAGAAAAAUAAUUUUUGCGAUUUUUUGAUAUCAUUUAUUAGUGAUCGAAAGGAUUCAAAUCCAUAUUUUUAAUGGUUGAUAUCUGCCGUUUUCAAAUUUAACGGUGUAGAAGUAUUCAAAUCAAAUAAAAUUUUGAUAUUAAAAUUCUUUAUACUAUCUACAACAAGAUCAAUAUUUCUGAUCGAAAAUUUUAGUGCUAUAUCACCAUUUUUAUAGAAUUUUUAUUUUCAAUCGUUAAAAAAUAUUGAUUUUGAAUCCUUCGAUUGCAAGGUAAUUGAUAUCGAAAAAUCGCAAAAAAUUAUUUUCUAGAAAUUCAAAUACGCUAGAUCAAGUCUAGCGGAGAGCCGAUCGUCGGUUUGGAAAUUUCAUUAUUGAAAACGGCUCAGGAGCACGGAGGCCUCGUGCUCCUGAGCCGUUUUCGAUGAUGGAAUUUUCGAAUCGACGAUCGGUCGUUAGACUGAUCUAGGGAUUUAAAGUUUUAGAAAAUAAUUUUUGCGAUUUUUUGAUAUACAUUUACUUAGUGAUCGAAAGGAUCAAAAUCCAUAAUUUUUAAUGGUUGAUAUCUGCCGUUUUCAAAUUUAACGUGUGUAGAAGUAUUCAAAUCAAAUAAAAUUUGAUAUAAAAUUCUUUAUAAUAUCUACAACAAGAUCAAUAUUUCUGAUCGAAAAUUUUAGUGCUAUAUCACCAUUUUAUAGAAUUUUAUUUUUUCAACCGUUUAAAAAUUAUUGAUUUGAAUCCUUUCGAUUGCAAGGUAAUUGAUAUCGAAAACGCAAAAAUUAUUUUCUAGAAACUUCAAAUACGUAGAUCAAGUUCUGAGGAGCGAUCGUCGGUUCGGAAAUUUUAUUAUUGAAAACGGCCUCAGGAGCACGGAGGCCCCGUGCUCCUGAGCGUUUUCGAUGAUGGAAUUUUCGAAUCGACGAUCGGCUCGUUAGACUUGAUCUAGGGCAUUUAAAGUUUUCUAGAAAAUAAUUUUUGCGAUUUUUUGAUAUCAUUUACUUAGUGAUCGAAAGGAUUCAAAAUCCAUAAUUUUUAAUGGUUGAUAUCUGCCGUUUUCAA
rnacentral:lncRNA from 1 species